GACGUAGGGAGCGAGCGUUGUCCGGAUUCAUUGGGCGUAAAGCGCGCGUAGGCGGCCGCACAAGUCGGGUGUGAAAACCAGAGGCUCAACCUCUGGCCUGCAUCCGAAACUGUGUGGCUUGAGGUAGGUAGGGGAGAUCGGAAUUCCUGGUGUAGCGGUGGAAUGCGCAGAUAUCAGGAGGAACACCGGUGGCGAAGGCGGAUCUCUGGGCCUUACCUGACGCUGAGGUGCGAAAGCUAGGGGAGCGAACAGG
rnacentral:rRNA from 1 species